UUGUCACUUUGGCAGCACAUUAACUAAAAAUCAAACGAUACAGAGAAGAUUAGCAUGGCCUGUAGACAAGGACAGGCAAAUUCAUGAAGUGUUCCAUACCAUA
ensembl:snRNA U6 U6 spliceosomal RNA